rnacentral:snRNA from 1 species
AGAUGUGAGGGCGAUCUAGCUGGGACAUCUGUCACCCCGUUGAUAGCCAGGGUUGAUUCGGCUGAUCUGGCUGACUGGGCAGGUGUCCCCUUCCUCCCUCACCGCUCCAUGUGCGUCCCUCCUGAAGUUGCGCGCUCUCUCGAGGGGGACAGCCUUCCCUGAAUAGACAGACUGGUCUUUAGUCGAGGGCAUAGGAGUAGCUGCGCUCCCCUGCUAGAACCUCCAAACAAGCUCUCGAGGUCCAUUUGUAGGAGAACGUAGGGUAGUCAAGCUUCCUAGACUCCAGACACAUCCUAAUGAGGUGCUGCAUGCGGCCGUCUGUCUAUCUUU